rnacentral:rRNA from 1 species
GCCAGCAACCAUAUCACCCUCCAGCUCACAACUGGCAACCCACUGAAGCUAAGCAGGUGUGCCCUGAUCAGUACCUGGAUGGGAGACCUCCUGGCAAAACUAAGGUUGCUGCUGGAA